rnacentral:sRNA from 1 species
UCGGAUGCAGCGCAGGACGCGCUCAGUUAGAUCAAGGAUGAUGACCAAGCCAGGAUGGCAGCUUGAUAGGAUGUUGAGUACGGUCAGCAGAAACCCGCUUCGGCGGGUUUUU